rnacentral:pre_miRNA from 1 species
GUAAGCCGAGAUAUAAACUAGGAGGCCGGGGGCUGUGUUUUUACACAACCCCCGGCCUCCUAGUUUGUUUUAUUCUGGGUUAA